rnacentral:rRNA from 1 species
GGGUUGUGAGGUUAAGCGACUAAGCGUACACGGUGGAUGCCCUGGCAGUCAGAGGCGAUGAAGGGCGUACUAAUCUGCGAUAAGCGCCGGUAAGGUGAUAUGAACCGUUAUAACCGGCGAUACCCGAAUGGGGAAACCCAGUGUGAUUCGUCACACUAUCAUUAACUGAAUCCAUAGGUUAAUGAGGCGAACCGGGGGAACUGAAACAUCUAAGUACCCCGAGGAAAAGAAAUCAACCGAGAUUCCCCCAGUAGCGGCGAGCGAACGGGGAGGAGCCCAGAGCCUGAAUCAGCAUGUGUGUUAGUGGAAGCGUCUGGAAAGGCGCGCGAUACAGGGUGACAGCCCCGUACACAAAAGCGCAUGUGCUGUGAGCUCGAUGAGUAGGGCGGGACACGUGGUAUCCUGUCUGAAUAUGGGGGGACCAUCCUCCAAGGCUAAAUACUCCUGACUGACCGAUAGUGAACCAGUACCGUGAGGGAAAGGCGAAAAGAACCCCGGCGAGGGGAGUGAAAAAGAACCUGAAACCGUGUACGUACAAGCAGUGGGAGCACAGGUUUACCUGUGUGACUGCGUACCUUUUGU